rnacentral:tRNA from 1 species
GGUGGCUUAGUGGUAGAGUGCUUGCCUUACAUGCAUGAGCUCAUGCCCUGGGUUCGAUUCCUCAGCACCA